CUUGUCUAACAUAAGAGGUCCAGCCUGCCCAGUGACAUUGUUCAACGGCCGCGGUAUCCUAACCGUGCGAAGGUAGCGUAAUCACUUGUUCUUUAAAUGAGGACUAGUAUGAAAGGCAUUACGAGAGUUAUACUGUCUCCUUUCUCUAAUCAGUGAAACUAAUCUCCUCGUGAAGAAGCGAGGAUAAAAAUAUAAGACGAGAAGACCCUAUGGAGCUUAAAACAAAUAACAUUUGCCCUUCUAACUCUAAAUUUCAGAAAAAUUUUUUAUCUUGGCAUUAUAACUAUUAGUUUUUGGUUGGGGUGACCACGGAACAAAAAACAACUUCCGCAAUGAAAGACGCUCCUUCACUAAGUCAAGGGCUACAACCCUACACAUCAACAAAUUGACAUUAAUUGACCCAACAUGUUGAUCAAUAGAC
rnacentral:rRNA from 1 species